rnacentral:rRNA from 1 species
AUGAAAUAUCUGCCGAGUCUUCCGGAGGACAUCUGGUGGCAUAUACAUUCACUAAUGCCAAUGCGAGAUGCUGCUCGAGCUGCCUGCGUUUCUCGUACCUUUAUGCAUUCCUGGAGACGCCGUACCAGCCUCACCUUCAGUAAAAAAACACUAGGCAUUGGUGAAGAUGUGUGUGAAAAGGAUGGUAAAGCAAGAGAUCUCACCUACAAAGUUGACAGAAUUUGGAUAGAACACCCAGGCAUUGGUGUGAAGGAAGUCAGAAUUGAGUUCUAUGAUAACACGACCAGGGUCUGUUUUCUUGAUCGCUGGCUUCAGAUUGCCGUCACACCUGGGAUUGAAGAACUCAUUGUUAUUCCUUCUGUGGGCCAUAAAAGGUACAACUUCCCAUGGUCACUUUUAUCUGAAGGAAGUGGAAACUCGAUUCGGUGUCUGUUCCUUUCCAGGUGUGUGUUCUGUCCAACAGUCGGACUUGGCUUGAGAAGUUUGACUCAAAUUACGCUGUGUUAUGUCCAUAUUACAGGAAAUGAGCUAGCCUGCCUUCUGGACAAUUCUUUUGCUUUGCAGCAGUUGGGACUCAGCCAUUGCAGCAAGAUAAUUAGACUGAAGAUACCUUCCCUGCUGCAGCGGCUCAUCACCCUUGAAGUGUCUGCAUGUAAGAGGCUGCAGACAAUAGAGAUUGAAGCUCAAUGUUUAUCCAAAUUUUGGUUUAGUGGUGAGCGGCUAGUACAACUCUCGUUUGGAGAAGCAUUGCAAUUGAAGACCCUAGACAUGCACUGUCAUGGUGCUGUCUGUGAGGCUCGUGCCAAUCUUCCGUCCACCUUGCCAAAUCUUGAAACACUUUCUGUAUUUUCAUAUUUUGAGACGGUCAAUACACCGAUGGUCGGUAGCAAAUUUCCAUUCCUCAAGCACUUGACUGUUAAACUUGCUGCGGCCCCAGCCUAUGAUUAUUGUUCUCUGAUAUCAUUUUUUGAUGCUUCUCCUUCAUUGGAGACGUUCUUCUUGAAUGUAAGUUUGUUCACCCUGCAAAGAUAUCUUCCUUUCCAGAUCCUGCGCUUCAAAUAG